AGUGAACGCUGGCGGUAGGCCUAACACAUGCAAGUCGAACGGCAGCACAGUAAGAGCUUGCUCUUACGGGUGGCGAGUGGCGGACGGGUGAGGAAUACAUCGGAAUCUACUUUUUCGUGGGGGAUAACGUAGGGAAACUUACGCUAAUACCGCAUACGACCUACGGGCGAAAGCAGGGGAUCUUCGGACCUUGCGCGAUUGAAUGAGCCGAUGUCGGAUUAGCUAGUUGGCGGGGUAAAGGCCCACCAAGGCGACGCUCCGUAGCUGGUCUGAGAGGAUGGUCCGCCACACUGGAACUGAAACACGGUCCAGACUCCUAAGGGAGGCAGCAGUGGGGAAUUUUGGAAAAUGGGCGAAAGCCGUAUCCCGCCAUGCCGCGUGGGUGAAGAAGGCCUUGGGGUUGUAAAGCCCUUUUGUGGGGAAAAAAAAGCAGCAGGUUAAACCCCCGUUGUUCUGACGGACCCAAAAAAAAAAGCACCGGCUAACUUCG
rnacentral:rRNA from 1 species